UGUCUCCUCCAACUCUUCUUGAAUUGGAUUUAACCCGCGUACUGCAAGGUUCGCGGGUUUUUUUAU
rnacentral:ncRNA from 1 species